ACGAACGCUGGCGGCGUGCUUAACCCCUGCAAGUCGAACGGAAAGGCCCUGCUUUUGUGGGGUGCUCGAGUGGCGAACGGGUGAGUAACACGUGAGUAACCUGCCCUUGACUUUGGGAUAACUUCAGGAAACUGGGGCUAAUACCGGAUAGGAGCUCCUGCUGCAUGGUGGGGGUUGGAAAGUUUCGGCGGUGGGGGAUGGACUCGCGGCUUAUCAGCUUGUUGGUGGGGUAGUGGCUUACCAAGGCUUUGACGGGUAGCCGGCCUGAGAGGGUGACCGGGCACAUUGGGACUGAGAUACGGCCCAGACUCCUACGGGAGGCAGCAGUGGGGAAUAUUGCACAAUGGGCGGAAGCCUGAUGCAGCAACGCCGCGUGCGGGAUGACGGCCUUCGGGUUGUAAACCGCUUUCGCCUGUGACGAAGCGUGAGUGACGGUAAUGGGUAAAGAAGCACCGGCUAACUACGUG
rnacentral:rRNA from 1 species